GACGAACGCUGGCGGCAUGCCUAAUACAUGCAAGUCGAGCGGAAUGAUGAGAGCUUGCUCUCUGAUUUCAGCGGCGGACGGGUGAGUAACACGUGGGCAACCUGCCCUACAGAUGGGGAUAACUCCGGGAAACCGGGGCUAAUACCGAAUAAUCAGUUUGUCCGCAUGGACGAACUCUGAAAGACGGUUUCGGCUGUCACUGUAGGAUGGGCCCGCGGCGCAUUAGCUAGUUGGUGGGGUAAUGGCCUACCAAGGCAACGAUGCGUAGCCGACCUGAGAGGGUGAUCGGCCACACUGGGACUGAGACACGGCCCAGACUCCUACGGGAGGCAGCAGUAGGGAAUCUUCCACAAUGGACGAAAGUCUGAUGGAGCAAUGCCGCGUGAGCGAAGAAGGUUUUCGGAUCGUAAAGCUCUGUUGUAAGGGAAGAACACGUACGGGAGUAACUGUCCGUACCUUGACGGUACCUUAUUA
rnacentral:rRNA from 1 species